ACGAACGCUGGCGGCGUGCUUCACACCUGUCAGUCGAGCGGAAAGGCCCUUCGGGGUCCUCGAGCGGCGAACGGGUGAGUAACACGUGAGUAACCUGCCCCAGACUUUGGGAUAACCCUCGGAAACGGGGGCUAAUACCGGAUACGACACAGCUUCGCAUGGGGUCUGUGUGGAAAGUUUUUCGGUUUGGGAUGGGCUCGCGGCCUAUCAGCUUGUUGGUGGGGUGAUGGCCUACCAAGGCGACGACGGGUAGCCGGCCUGAGAGGGCGACCGGCCACACUGGGACUGAGACACGGCCCAGACUCCUACGGGAGGCAGCAGUGGGGAAUAUUGCACAAUGGGCGGAAGCCUGAUGCAGCGACGCCGCGUGAGGGAUGACGGCCUUCGGGUUGUAAACCUCUUUCAGCAGGGACGAAGCGUAAGUGACGGUACCUGCAGAAGAAGCGCCGGCCAACUACGUG
rnacentral:rRNA from 1 species